UCUAUUUUAUAUGUAUUUGCGGUGCUUUUAUGUUGAAAAUCUUCCGAACCGGAAGUAGGAAGUAAAGACGCAAACAAUAGAAAAGCGUGUGUGCAGAGUUGGUGAAUAGGUUGGAUUUGGAGCGGUCUCGGAAAACAAAACAUAAACUAUAUCGGAUUUGGAAAAGGCGGAUUUUGGCAUAAACUGGUAUGUGAAUGGUUCUGGUGGAAAUGGAGGUAGAAAUUGAGGAAUGUAUUGGAUUUAGAAGGGUGGACGCCAGUGGGGAGAGGAAGAGGACGUUUGAUUUGUUUGACUAAAGAGCAUCACUGGACUGUUGUAGCAAAAGUUUUACCUGGAAACAAGGGUUUUUUUGGGAACAAGCUGUAUAAAGAAUCUUUAUUCCUCUGGAGUUUGUGCGGCCAAUGAGUUCUGACGGCAUUUUAAGGGCAUUUUCUAAGACAUGUAAAGACAUGUUGUCCGCAAUAAUGGUCUGUUGAAACCAAAAGAACGACGUUGAGCCUUGAUUAACUCGGGAGGAGUAACAGCCAGAACUCAAGCCUGCUUCGGGCUGGAGAAGUGCAGAGAGGAGCGGAGGUUGCAGCUGCUGCAGAGCCGACAACGAGCAGCUCGUUAAUGGGUGACGUCGCUCUAUAGCAUCAGGGAAAGGCCGACUGCACGCAGGAAUUAGCCAAACCAGAAGCAGCUGUUGUCCGGGAGUGCAGCGGGCUUAAUUUGCCACCAAGUAACACGUUUAAAUUAAGUUAAAUGUGAAGAGGUGAAUUAACCUUGCUAAGCUUUAAGGGACUCAAUAAGUGCUUGAAGGGUAACAUGCUGCAGUAUACAUACAAGUCAGGUGUACACAUGUUAAAAGUUAAACUCAAGUUAAGAAAAAUAUAUACAUUUUGUUUUAUCUCAUUCAAGGAAGUUGAUUCCAGCUAACUUAAGACAGAUACGAGUGUUUUUUGUUUGUUGGUUUUAUUAAGGGUAACCAAGGUACCGAAAAGGGAAGUUUUGUGAUUUGGUUUUACAUGGAAAUAGUUUGUCUUGUAAUAGUUGAAAGAUUUAUUAUUCAGAUUAAGGUGUUUGUAACUGCACAACUAAGUUGAUCUUUAACUAGAGAAAUAAUUUAAGUUUAUGAACACAUUUAAAGGGUGUGUGUUUAAAUUAGGCUAAAUCUACAUACUUCUAAUGUAAAGAUAAUUAAGCUAAAGUUAAACAAUAAACCCCAAAGGAUCUAAACAAAAUGGACAAUGACAUGGCCAUGCAGGAAGACUGUGACACUGAAGCUGUGAAGUUGCAACAAGAAGGAAAUCAUAAAGAGGUGACCACAAGUGAAGCUUUUUCAGCAGAAGGCUUUAGGAAAAGUGCAAGACAGAAAAAACUCAAUGAAAAGGGUCAAGUGCUGCGUCAAGAAAAGAUGAACAGACUUCAUUCUCGUUUCAAGCUCAGUUAUGACAAAUGGAAAACUGCUGCUAAACAAGCCAAAAGAGCUCUUGAUGCAUCUAUAAAAACAAGUUUGCACAGAAGCUGGUUCUUUGUGCACUUCAACAACUUCCCAAAGUUCCAAACAGUCAAGUAGUGCGCGUUCAAGCCACUCAAGUAAGCUGUCUGUCAAAAGGCAAGAAGCAGCAGCAGAACUGGCUGCCAUGGAAGCAAGCUUCCUGAUUGGCUUACAGCAAGAUGGAAUAGGAAAGUUAUUCAGAUUGAAGAGGAGUGUGGUUCAUUUCCAACAUUUAGUAACUUUGUUGACUUUGUCACAAGAGAGGCAAAAAUAGCAUGUAACCCAGUGACGUCGCUACAUGCGCUUAAAGCAAAUGCUUCAGAGAAAACAAAGCUCAUAAAGGCUAGCAGUGUUGGGGCAAACGCAUUUGCAAGCAGCACAGAAGAGAAAACAGAAACAAACAAAUGUUAUUCUGUGGGAGAUUAAAUCACAGAAUUCAGACAUGUCAAAAUUUCAUGGAAAAGACAAUCACUGAAAGAGUGAAGUUUGUAAAAUUAAAGGGACUGUGUUUUAGAUGUCUCUGCUAUGGACAUCAAUCCAAGAAAAGAGAAGUAUCUGCAACACCUGCAAGAAAAAACACCCAAUAUGUCUACAUGAAGAACGAGACAAGGAAGACAAAAAAAAAUAAGGAAGGUGAUAAAAGGCAGAGGGAGUAUAACGAACUAGAAGAGAUUAAAGAAGGCAAAUAAAUCAAAGAACAAGAUCAA